AGAGGGUCGUGCUGGCGGUGAGCCGGGAUUUCCCGUCGCGGUGGCGUUAACCCUGAGCCAACCCUGGUCCCGUUGGGAGGGCCCUAGGUCACGGCAGGUGGAACAGACCAGAUUGAGAUGCUUCCGCACCAGAUCUGGGGACUGGUUUCUUAUCAACCAGUUGUCGAGGAGUCUGACCUGGAAGCCCCCAGGACCUGGACUGUGGCAGAGGAGGCGAGAGUGGAGGAUAGAAGGCUUCCUAAACUGCUGAGGGAUAUGCCGGCUCAAGGAGCGGAGGGUGGCUUGGGAGUCCUUAAGCCCAUGGAGCCUUGAGUCAGUUAGCUUGAAAAAGAGCCCUGUACUCUCGAAGGGGAGGUUCUGGAUUGUGGCCUGCAUUUCAGGGGACAGCCCAGAAGCCUGCAACCACGAGCUAUACCUCAUGGCCACUGCUGACGCAACCUGGCUGUCAAGUCCGUAGCAUCCCAGGCCAUCUGGAGGACUCCCCUGGCCACUGCUGUGCCUUCGCUCACUAACGCUGUGAACUCUUUGGCAUGAUCCCGUGAAAUGAUUAAAGGAGUCCCACAGAUUGAAGGUAUAACGUCCCAACAGGGCCUGGUAAUUAGACACUCCGAAC